rnacentral:lncRNA from 1 species
GAAUAACCGAGUGUUUUUGGUUUUUAAAGGACACAAUGAUGAUGGAGCUUCAUUCAAAUGGUAAAACCAUUAAGGACAUUGAAGAGGUUCUGCGUAAGAUUCCCUUGCACCCAAGAGUAAUACCUGCUAUUAAGGCAGCUCAUGCUUUAGGGUACGUAACUAUGCAUCUCUUAAUACAGAAUUCUGUUUAUUUAAUGCUCUUUUUUUUAUGGUAAAUGUGAUUUGUGGAUUAAAUUUACAGUGACAUUUGUUUUUUCAGGUGUGAUUUGAGGAUUGUGAGUGAUGCAAACACGUUUUUCAUUGAGACUAUUUUGAAGCAUUUGGGAAUUAGAGAAUAUUUCUCAGAAAUCAAUACUAACCCCGGUUAUGUGAAUGAAGAAGGAAGGUUAAGGAUUCUGCCUUACCAUGACUUCAACAAAGCUUCCCAUGGCUGCAAUUUGUGCCCUCCAAACAUGUGCAAGGUAAAUAAAUACAGAAGCUGUUUUUCUAUGAUCAAAGAUUUGUUCUUCUUAGUCACCUGUUUGAUUGGUCAAAAUCAUGUUGAAAAUUUAAACUUUCGUCUUUCCUUAAAUGUUUAUAGCAGUUGGCAACAACUCACGUUUUUAGAUAUUGUUUUGUUAAUUGUUCUAGCUUAUGGGACAGUACUAUUUCUAUUUUUAAUCAUAAAGAUGGCUGCUAACGUGACUCAACGUGUUCGUGAGUCAUGAAUUGAUCCUAUAACAAUGGAAUGUGUUUCCUGAUUUCUUGGCCUUAAAAAAUACUUAUAAUUUUCCUGGUUUUGUCUCUGGUAUGAGCCCACAGGAUUUGAUUGAAAUACAAAAUAAGGAUUAGUUUUGACCUAGGCCCCACCAAUAGUUCCAGAGAAAUACAAAAUUAUGAAAUGUUGGGUUGAAGCUUCUUAUGCUGAUUGAGAAGGUUCUUGUAAUUUGAAAUCAUGUUGAAUUAUGAAAGAUUGAAAAAUGUAAUUUAUUGUGAAUGAUUGCAGGGUUUAGUGAUAGAGAGAAUUGAAGAUUCAAUAUCAGAAGAGGAUAAGAGAUUGAUCUAUCUUGGAGAUGGAAGUGGAGACUAUUGUCCAAGUUUGAGGUUGAAAGACAAGGACUUUAUGAUGCCAAGGAAGAACUUUCCGGUGUGGGAUUUGAUAUGCAGAGAUCCUUCACUUGUUAAGGCUGAGAUUCAUGGGUGGAGUGAUGGUGAAGAACUUGAACAAGUUUUGCUGCACUUGAUCAACAAAAUAUCAAUGGAGCAAAAUUCUACCUUCAUUUCAUCUGAUUGCAAGCUUCAGACUCUGUCAGUCUCUGCUUUGGAGGCUUUGCCCAAAGUUCUACCAGUUCGGCCAUAAACAGUUCUUAGCUUAGUUUAUAAGAAAAAUGUAUCAUAAUAACUUUAAGGUUUUUUGUUUUUUCUUUGAUUAACCUUCUCCAAAGCUCACUAAAGUUGCUAAUGUUGGAACUGGUCUAAGAUGUGGACCACUAUAAUUUCUAUCAAAUACCAAUAUCUGUUUUCUACACAUUUUUUAGGAUUUUUUUUAUGCUUUAAAUAUGAAAAAUGAUAUUUUUACCUAUAAAUCUUUUAUAUUAAUUUUUGUUAUUUUUUUAAAAAUAUAAAAAUUUAAUUUUUCAUAAUCAUUUUAUUAUAAUAAUGUGUGUGAAAUAAAUAUAAAUAUAAAUAUGUGUUAAUUUUUAUUAUUGAAAACAUUUGAUUAGAAUCAUGAUUAUAAAUAAAUAUGGUUUCAUUUUUCUUCAACCUCAAGCUGCUUGAUUUGUCGUUCCUCUUCAACCUCUGAAUCAAUCUCAAGCUUCUUCAAAAAUGGCGAAGUUAGUAUGUAACAUGCAUCCCACACUUGGAAUCGAUUAUCUCUGUUUUGGAAUCGAUUACUUCAUUUAUGAUAAAAAGAUUUUUUACCAUUUUGACUUUUGUUUAAGGUCAUAAAUAAGUUUUACACUUUUAUUACAACAAAUCCAGACAAAUCUUUAAAUAGUGAGAUAUGAUAGAAUCUUACAAAUCAUCUAUUUUUCUUUUAUUUUUUUCAAAAUUCAUCAAAACGAACACGAGUAAAAUCCAAAAUCAAUCUUAGCAGAUAUUCUUCUACACGAUGUCCGCCUCAACCAAACACAAUGUAAAAAAUAUCUUUAAGGUAAUUUUUAUAAAAUAAAACUUAGUAUAUUAGUUUUCUAUUUAAUGAUAAAUUAAUCAAUAUUAAUAUCAUCUUCGCAUCUUCUCUUCUCCUACUCUUAAAUAUAUUUUAGAUUAUUAUAUUUUUACUAGUGUACAUGUACUUAUAUUAAUUAUGACAGUUCAAUUUCAAAAUAAAUAGAUUUUUUCCCUUUUAACUUUACAAUUAAUGUUUUUGCUUCAAACUUCAGUCAAUGAUUAAUAUCAUGUCACUUUUUUCCUUCUCUUUGUCUUUUUCUUUUUUAAAUUUUAUAUUUGAGUCUUCAUUUUUCCUAUUUUCACUAUUCUUCUUCAAGAAUCAACAGUGAUCAAAAGAGAAAGAUUGUUUAUGCAUUUAACUACAAUUCAUGAAUAGUGUUUGUGAAAUUGUAAGCUAUUUUAGAUAAUUUUAUAAACUAUUUUUUUAGAUAAAAGUUAAAUAAAUUAACACAGUUUUUAUUUUUUUAAUAAAGUAAUUACUAUUUUUUUUUGUCAAAUCCUGUAUUAGUCCGAAUUAAUUGACGAGGGACAAACAAUAAUUACAAUACUAGAAAAACACAAAAGACAUUUAAUGAACCGUAAAUUAAAUUUAAAAAUAAAUUGCCUGAAUUUAUUACAUUACGUUACUGGAAUAGAUUAUACUUAGAAUAUUCUCAUGAUUUUUGAUGGAGCAGCCUCUUUCAUAGUCACAUAAAAUGCAUCCAAUUCCCUAAUGGAAUAUUCCUUCAUUCCCAGGUUUAUUCUCAAUCUUCUGAUCACCUAAUAUUCCUCAGAAUCAAACGGUUUAGAUUGAAUUUGAAAUGCCACCACUAGAAAUUUCUCUAGGCUAAAAUGAAGCUUUUUUAGGUUUUGAAAUUUCCAUGGCCACCUUCUCUUCCAGGAACUAUCCCUAUACCAAGUAAUAUUCCUUUGGAAUCAAAGAUUCUGGUUGGAUUUUAGGUUUAGCCUUAACCCACAUUUCCCUAUAAAUACUCUUUUUAUUCUCUUUUAUUACAACCAAGCCAAAAACCGAUCUUGGAAAACCCCCAUUAGAGCCUUGUUAUUGAGAAGAAAGUUUGUUCUUCUGGGCCAUUCAGAUUUUCUCCAUUUUCAAAACAAAAAUGUCUGGAAUUGUGGUUGUUUUCGACUUUGACAAGACCAUUGUCGAUGUUGACAGCGACAACUGGGUCAUCGACGAAUUGGGUUUCACAGAUUUGUUCAACCAACUCCUUCCCACGAUGCCUUGGAACACUCUCAUGGUAAGCCUUUGUAGUCACAUGUUCACUUCUUUUUCAUGAACAAAAUUUACAUGCUUUUGCUAACUAUAUGAAAGUUUCAUUUUCCAUUUUUGGUUGAAAAGAUUUGCAUUAAAGAUCAACAUACAUUGUCCUUUAAUGCGUCAAUUCAACCCAUAAUAGUUAAAAUAUAUCUAAGAAUUACAUCUGAUUUUUCUAUUCCUCUUUACACUUAUUUCCUACCUUUUUUUUGUAUAUUUUUUAAUUUUCCUUAAUUCUGUAUGAAUAACGAAGUUCUUUUGUGUUUUUGUUUUGGAUUUAUAGGACAAGAUGAUGAUGGAGCUUCACACACACGGUAAAACCAUUAAGGAUAUUGAAGAGGUUCUGCAUAAGAUUCCAUUGAACCCCAGAGUAGUACCAGCUGUUAAAGCAGCUCAUUCUUUAGGGUGAGUAACUAUGCAUGUAUUUUCACAAGAACAAAUUCUGAUUCUGUGUUUUUUCUUUUUUUAAUUUGAUUUUUGUGGAUUAAAUCUAUGGUGGCAUUUGUUUUCCCAGGUGUGAUUUGAGGAUUGUGAGUGAUGCAAACAUGUUUUUCAUUGAGUCAAUUUUGAAGCACUUAGGAAUAAGGGAAUAUUUCUCAGAGAUCAAUACUAACCCCAGUUAUGUGAAUGAAGAAGGAAGGUUAAGGAUUCUACCUUACCAUGAUUUCAACAAAGCUUCUCAUGGCUGUAGUUUGUGUCCUCCAAACAUGUGUAAGGUAAAUAUAAAUGUCAUUUUUCAUCCACUACCUUAUUUUUUCUCUGUUAAAAGAUAACUUUCUUUGAAAUAAUACCUUAUUUUUCUUUGCUAAAAGAUAGCUUUUCUUGAAAUAGUGUGGACCCUUCAUUCAUUUAUCAAAAAUCAUGGUGAGAAUUGAAAUUUUACUGAGUUUGAAAAACCUUGUUUAAAAACUCAAAACUACUAUUUGUAUAAACAGUUGGCAACUAUACACAUUUCCUGAUACUGUAUCCAAGUUGAUGUUAACUGGCUCUAGUUUCUGGGAAAAAUAUUAUUUUAUAUUUUUAAUCAUGUUGACAAGUGCUAACUGUGGAGUGCUGUCUCCUGAUUUCUUGGCCUUAAAAAAUACCAAAAAUUUUCUUAACCAAGCAACCAUGCCUUUCUGGUUUUGUCUCUGGUAUGAGCCCACAGGAUUUGAUUGAAAUACAAAAUAAGGAUUAGUUUUGACCUAGGCCCCACCAAUAGUUCCAGACAAAUACAAAAUUAUGAAAUGUUGGGUUGAAGCUUCUUAUGCUGACUGAGAAGGUUCUUGUAAUUUGAAAUCAUGUUGAAUUAUGAAAGAUUGAAAAAUGUAAUUUUGUGUGAAUGAUUGCAGGGUUUAGUGAUAGAGAGAAUUGAAGAUUCAAUAUCAGAAGAGGAUAAGAGAUUGAUCUAUCUUGGAGAUGGAAGUGGAGACUAUUGUCCAAGUUUGAGGUUGAAAGAGAAGGACUUUAUGAUGCCAAGGAAGAAUUUUCCGGUGUGGGAUUUGAUAUGCAGAGAUCCGUCACUUGUUAAGGCUGAGAUUCAUGGGUGGAGUGAUGGAGAAGAACUUGAACAAGUUUUGCUGUAUUUGAUCAACAAAGUAUCAAUGGAGCAAAAUUCUUCCUUCAUUUCAUCUGAUUGUAAGCUUCAGACUCUGUCAGUCUCUGCUCAUGAGGCUUUGCCCAAAGUUCUACCAGUUCGACCAUAGUUUCAUGGUUUUGUAACUUUUGUAAUGUAUCAUAAUUCGAUUUUGAUUAUUAACAACCUUAAUUAAACCUUGACUCUUUCCAAAUGUUGGAAAUGGUGGUGGACACCUAUCAAAUACAAACAUUGGUUUGCCCAAUUUCCUUGCAGACUGCAUAUUUUUAUGGGCUAGACAAUGGUUUUCCAUGGAAAAUAUUUUAUUAUAUUUUAAAACAUCA